CCUACGGGAGGCAGCAGUAGGGAAUUUUCGGCAAUGGGGGGAAGCCUGACCGAGCAACGCCGCGUGAGCGAAGAAGGUAUUCGGACUGUAAAGUUCUGUUAACAGGGAAGAAAGAGAAAUUUGACGGUACCUGGUGAAUAAGCUGCGGCUAAAUACGUGACAGCAGCCGCGGUAAUGCGUAGGGAGCGAGCGUUAUCAGGAAUGAUUGGGCGAAAGGGGUGCGUAGAUGGCAGAGUAAGUCUUGGGUAAAACUGCGGGGAUAAACCCAGUAGGGCAAAAGAUACUGCAAAUCUAGAGUAUGAGAGAGGCAAGUGGAACUACAGGUGUAGCGGUAAAAUGCGUAAAUAUAUGUAAGAACACCAGUGGCGAAGGCGACUUGCUGGCUCGUUACUGACGUUGAGGCACGAAAGCGUGGGGAGCAAACAGGAUUAGAUACCCGUGUAGUC
rnacentral:rRNA from 1 species